rnacentral:lncRNA from 1 species
UCAGGUUUGAGUUCAGACCUUGGUCUGAAAUUACAUUUCACAAAGCAAGGUUUGUCCUCAGACCAGGUUUAUGUACGUCAUCAGACCCGAAAUUUACAGACUGCUCAGAUAGGAGGUUUGUAAUUUCUCAAACCUGGUUUGAGAGCUAUCAACCAAUCAGGAUGCAGCACUGGGUGGAGAUAAUUUAUGCUCGAUUGAUUUUAUCCAAAUAAUUCACCGCCUAAACAAUCUGCGAUAGUAUCUGGUCAGCCCGAUUUUAGUGCAAUUGAAAUCUCUCAAUCUCUCGAUCCUUUCCUUAAAAUCUAAAGAUGGUAGAAAUGCAGCUGAUUCAGCAUAAUGAGCUGGUGUACCUGGAGGAGGAGCUGGAGCAAUAUAUAGCAGCACAACCGGGCAGAGGCCUCUGAGUCUGAGAUUGGGAAAACCCGCUGGAUGAUGAGCCUUUUGUUUUAGAUUGAGGUAAUUCGAUCUAAAGGAUGCACCGUGAGGAGGUGGCAUGCCGUGUCAUAUUCAUCCGUUUGCCGAAUGGAGAGUAGUGAGGGAUGUUUCCGAAGCUGUUGUCAGAAGAAAGGGACAAGUCAUGAAGUUUCCUACAAGUUACAAGGCAAAUAGUGACUACUAUUUAGAAGCAGUUUUUCCAGUACUGCAGAUUUCCAGGAGUUGCUGUUGAUGGGACACAUGUUUACAUCAGGAGCCCUGGUGGGGCAAGAGCCAGGUACUACUUAAAUAGGAAGAACAGGUACUCCAUCGAUGUUCAGGUUGUCUGUGAUUAUGCUGGGAAAAUAACUAGUAUCGUUGCAAGGUGGCCUGGACUGGUAGCAGCCACGAUGCCAGGAUCUUUUCUGAGUGUGCACUGAAUUGACAGCUUGAUGCUAGGGCAUAUGAAUAACAGUUGAUUCUUGGAGAUAGACUAUAGGGUAUCCAUGCCUUCUCUGCCUCAUCAGAAGCCAUUUCUUCAUUCAGAGGGUCGACCACAGAUGUGCUUUAAAGGCCAUCUGUACUAGUUCAGCCAAAGAGGAUUAGACAACCCAGCAAGGUCACUGACGGGAGGCUAUCUCAUCAAUUCAGUUCUCAAUUAACAUA